rnacentral:lncRNA from 1 species
GCAGUGAAUUCUACAAAGAGGCUAUGGGAAAGAAACCUGGAAAGUACCCUUGGCUGUGUACAUUUGAGUAAAGAGAGCACUAUAAAAUCAAAAACCAAUGAAAUGGUUUCCAGAACACAGAACUAUUAAGCUUAAGAAAAGGACAGAAGGAACUGAAGAGAGAGGAACUGUUUUGGAGCAUCACACUUCCACCUCAGAAGAAAUAAGGAAGGAAGGAGGAGGGUGUUCCCACGGCUCUUCAACCAGGCCGGCUCUUCAGCCUACAUCCCCAUCUCAUCAAGUAAAAGGGAUUUUUCAACUGGACCAACCAGAUGGUUUAACAGUGCACUCCCACACCAUUCAACUACGCAAGGGAGAUACACUUAACAUAUGCAGUCGUAUAACACCUACUAACAUUUUCAAACAUUAAACCUUUAAAAAAGAGUUCUAAAGAAAUAGAAGCUUGAAGUAUCAUCUCUCAAGUAUAUAGACACUACUUCAUGGUGUGGUAAUAUAUGCAUAUAGAAGCUAGUAAACACCUCCAGGAGAUGCAAAAGGAAUUAGAACUGCCACAAGGUGCAAGCAAAACCUUGAGGUAAUCAAUCUGCAUCCCAUUUUGGAUGAGAAUAUUUGCAACUUUGAAGGUUAUUUUAAGGACAGCAGCAGAAGAAUUAUGGCAGCUUCUUUAAAAUAUGAAGACUUCGAAGUUAUUUAUCCAAACCAACCUGAUCAUUUCUUAAGAGUGAAUAUACCUUGGAAGACGUGUCCUGCCUUUAGUAGCGUCACAAUGGAUUACAUCCUCUAUAAAGCAGUCUGGGAGGCUAACAUCUGCCACAAGACAAAUAUGGUGCCUGCCCCCAUGGAGCUCAUAUUCGAAUGGAGAAAAUGUCAACAAGUAUCCCACGGAGUGAACACUUCAAAAGGAGAAGCACAGGUGAGAAAAUCGAAUUUGGACACCGUUGAGGAGACUAUUGCAGUCAUCCAAGCUCAAGAUGGUGGAGCUUCAUCCUUGAGAAUAACCAAUGGGGAUAGAUUUAAGAGACACUUAGAGUCUGCAGCCAACAGGGCUGAAUGAGCAGAGAGUUAUGAUUCAGAAGAUCAUCUAAAAUUGAACAGCUGCCACUACUGGCAAUAAGUCUACUGCCAUUUGGUAGAUAACCUUCUUAUCACACAGAAAAAUAUCAGUACAGACAAAUAGACCGCAAAGAAAAUGAGACCAUCAGCAAAGAAGAUAAAGAAGUUUGUACAAAGCAACUUUUUAUAAAUGGAUGGCUGUCAGGCAAAAAUAAAUUUCCUGUGGACAAGACCAAGAGCAAGGCAAGAGGAAAAUAAACAUGUUUAAACUA